CCCGCUGAACUUAAGCAUAUCAAUAAGCGGAGGAAAAGAAACUAACAAGGAUUCCCCUAGUAACGGCGAGUGAAGCGGGAAGAGCUCAAAUUUAAAAUCUGGCGGUGUAUUCCGUCCGAGUUGUAGUCCAAAGAAGCGUUAAAUCCGGGCUGACCAUGUACAAGUCUCUUGGAACAGAGCGUCAUAGAGGGUGAGAAUCCCGUCCUUGACAUGGACUCCCAGUGCUUUGUGUUGUGCUCUCGACGAGUCGAGUUGUUUGGGAAUGCAGCUCAAAAUGGGUGGUAAAUUCCAUCUAAAGCUAAAUAUUGGCGAGAGACCGAUAGCGAACAAGUACCGUGAGGGAAAGAUGAAAAGCACUUUGGAGAGAGAGUUAAACAGUACGUGAAAUUGUUGAAAUGGAAACGCUUGAAGUCAGUCGCGUUCUCUGGGAUUCAGCCUUGCUUCUGCUUGGUGCACUUCCUAGUCUACGGGCCAGCAUGGAUUUCGACCGAUGGAAAAAGGCUUGGGGAAUGUGGCACCUCCGGGUGUGUUAUAGCCCUUUGUCAGACACGUCGGUUGGGAUCGAGGACCUCAGUGCACGCUUCGGUUGUGCUUUGAUGCUGGCGUAAUGGCUUUAAACGACCCGUCUUGAAACACGG
rnacentral:rRNA from 1 species